rnacentral:tRNA from 1 species
CGCCGCGUGGAGCAGUCCAGUAGCUCGCCGGGUUCAUAACCCGGAGGUCGCAGGUGCGAAUCCUGCCGCGGCUA